AGCGAACGCUGGCGGCAUGCUUAACACAUGCAAGUCGCACGAAGGUUUCGGCCUUAGUGGCGGACGGGUGAGUAACGCGUAGGAAUCUAUCCAUGGGUGGGGGAUAACUCUGGGAAACUGGAGCUAAUACCGCAUGAUACCUGAGGGUCAAAGGCGCAAGUCGCCUGUGGAGGAGCCUGCGUUCGAUUAGCUUGUUGGUGGGGUAAUGGCCUACCAAGGCGAUGAUCGAUAGCUGGUCUGAGAGGAUGAUCAGCCACACUGGGACUGAGA
rnacentral:rRNA from 1 species